UACGUAGGGUGCGAGCGUUAAUCGGAAUUACUGGGCGUAAAGGGCUCGUAGGCGGCCAACUAAGUCAGACGUGAAAUCCCUCGGCUUAACCGGGGAACUGCGUCUGAUACUGGAUGGCUUGAGGUUGGGAGAGGGAUGCGGAAUUCCAGGUGUAGCGGUGAAAUGCGUAGAUAUCAGGAGGAACACCUGUGGUGUAGACAGCUUACUGGACCAUUUCUGACGCUGAGACACGAAAGCGUGGGUAGCAAACAGG
rnacentral:rRNA from 1 species